UACGGGGGGAGCAAGCGUUGUUCGGAUUUACUGGGCGUAAAGGGCGCGUAGGCGGCCAGCACAAGUCAGUUGUGAAAUCUCCGAGCUUAACUCGGAAAGGUCAACUGAUACUGUGCGGCUAGAGUGCGGAAGGGGCAACUGGAAUCCUUGGUGUAGCGGUGAAAUGCGUAGAGAUCAGGAAGAACAUCGGUGGCGAAGGCGCUCUGCUGGACCAUAACUGACACUCAGGGACGAAAGCUAGGGGAGCGAAUGGG
rnacentral:rRNA from 1 species